CAUGGCAUAAGAGUGAAAGGCGCUUUCGGGUGUCGCUGAUGGAUGGACCCGCGGUGCAUUAGCUAGUUGGUGAGGUAACGGCUCACCAAGGCCACGAUGCAUAGCCGACCUGAGAGGGUGAUCGGCCACACUGGGACUGAGACACGGCCCAGACUCCUACGGGAGGCAGCAGUAGGGAAUCUUCGGCAAUGGACGAAAGUCUGACCGAGCAACGCCGCGUGAGUGAAGAAGGUUUUCGGAUCGUAAAACUCUGUUGUUAGAGAAGAACAAGGACGUUAGUAACUGAACGUCCCCUGACGGUAUCUAACCAGAAAGCCACGGCUAACUACGUGCCAGCAGCCGCGGUAAUACGUAGGUGGCAAGCGUUGUCCGGAUUUAUUGGGCGUAAAGCGAGCGCAGGCGGUUUCUUAAGU
rnacentral:rRNA from 1 species